AUUUGGACAUGUGAUUACUCAUGAAGGAGUUCAAGAUGAUCAAUCAAAAAUCUCCGUAGUGUUGGAUUGGCCUUCACCUUCCACCAUACGUGGGUUGAGGGGAUUCUUGCGUCUUAUAGGCUAUUAUCGAAAAUUUGUGCAGCAUUAUGGAGUGAUUGCUGCACCCUUGACAGCAAUGUUACGGAAAAUUUCAUUUGAAUGGACUAAUCAGUCUCGGCAAGCAUUUGAG
rnacentral:misc_RNA from 1 species